AUUAUUUUAAAGCAUAUAAAGCAAAAAGAGUUUAACUAUUUCAUAUCCUUACACUCAGCACUAAUGAUUAUAAACCUUAUCUAAGCAUAAAAUACAUAUGAACAAGAAAAGUUAACUACUUCAUAUUCUUACAACUACAGCUCCCACAAUGCAGCAGGUGGUGUGAGAGCAUGCUGGGAGACUACUGUGAUGGGAUUCCAGCAUGGUCAAAAUUUAGU